rnacentral:rRNA from 1 species
UACGAAGGGGGGCUAGCGUUGCUCGGAAUUACUGGGCGUAAAGCGCACGUAGGCGGAUUGUUAAGUCGGGGGUGAAAUCCUGGAGCUCAACUCCAGAACUGCCUUCGAUACUGGCGAUCUCGAGUUCGGGAGAGGUGAGUGGAACUGCGAGUGUAGAGGUGAAAUUCGUAGAUAUUCGCAAGAACACCAGUGGCGAAGGCGGCUCACUGGCCCGAUACUGACGCUGAGGUGCGAAAGCGUGGGGAGCAAACAGG